UCUCCUAAGGCUAAAUACUCUCUAGUGACCGAUAGUGAACCAGUACCGUGAGGGAAAGGUGAAAAGUACCCCGGAAGGGGAGUGAAAGAGAACUUGAAACCGUGUGCUUACAAGUAGUCAGAGCCCGUUAAUGGGUGAUGGCGUGCCUUUUGUAGAAUGAACCGGCGAGUUACGAUCUGAUGCAAGGUUAAGCAGAAAAUGUGGAGCCGUAGCGAAAGCGAGUCUGAAUAGGGCGAAUGAGUAUUUGGUCGUAGACCCGAAACCAGGUGAUCUACCCUUGGUCAGGUUGAAGUUCAGGUAACACUGAAUGGAGGACCGAACCGACUUACGUUGAAAAGUGAGCGGAUGAACUGAGGGUAGCGGAGAAAUUCCAAUCGAACUUGGAGAUAGCUGGUUCUCUCCGAAAUAGCUUUAGGGCUAGCCUCAAGUGAUGAUUAUUGGAGGUAGAGCACUGUUUGGACGAGGGGCCCCUCUCGGGUUACCGAAUUCAGACAAACUCCGAAUGCCAAAUAAUUUAACUUGGGAGUCAGAAUGUGGGUGAUAAGGUCCAUAUUCGAAAGGGAAACAGCCCAGACCACCAGCUAAGGUCCCAAAAUAUAUGUUAAGUGGAAAAGGAUGUGGCGUUGCCCAGACAACUAGGAUGUUGGCUUAGAAGCAGCCAUCAUUUAAAGAGUGCGUAAUAGCUCACUAGUCGAGUGACACUGCGCCGAAAAUGUACCGGGGCUAAACAUAUUACCGAAGCUGUGGAUUGUCCUUUGGACAAUGGUAGGAGAGCGUUCUAAGGGCGUUGAAGCAUGAUCGCAAGGACAUGUGGAGCGCUUAGAAGUGAGAAUGCCGGUGUGAGUAGCGAAAGACGGGUGAGAAUCCCGUCCACCGAUUGACUAAGGUUUCCAGAGGAAGGCUCGUCCGCUCUGGGUUAGUCGGGUCCUAAGCUGAGGCCGACAGGCGUAGGCGAUGGAUAACAGGUUGAUAUUCCUGUACCACCAUUAUUCGUUUUAAGCGAUGGGGGGACGCAGUAGGAUAGGCGAAGCGUGCUGUUGGAGUGCACGUCCAAGCAGUGAGAUUGAGUGUUAGGCAAAUCCGGCACUCUUAAGAUUGAGCUGUGAUGGGGAGAGGAACUUGUUCCUCGAGUCGUUGAUUUCACACUGCCGAGAAAAGCCUCUAGCUAGAAUAACGGUGCCCGUACCGCAAACCGACACAGGUAGUCAAGAUGAGAAUUCUAAGGUGAGCGAGCGAACUCUCGUUAAGGAACUCGGCAAAAUGACCCCGUAACUUCGGGAGAAGGGGUGCUCUUUGAGGUUCACGCUUCGAAGAGCCGCAGUGAAUAGGCCCAAGCGACUGUUUAUCAAAAACACAGGUCUCUGCUAAACCGUAAGGUGACGUAUAGGGGCUGACGCCUGCCCGGUGCUGGAAGGUUAAGAGGAGUGGUUAGCGCAAGCGAAGCUACGAAUCGAAGCCCCAGUAAACGGCGGCCGUAACUAUAACGGUCCUAAGGUAGCGAAAUUCCUUGUCGGGUAAGUUCCGACCCGCACGAAAGGCGUAACGAUUUGGGCACUGUCUCAACGAGAGACUCGGUGAAAUCAUAGUACCGGUGAAGAUGCCGGUUACCCGCGACAGGACGGAAAGACCCCGUGGAGCUUUACUGUAGCCUGAUAUUGAAAUUCGGUACAGUUUGUACAGGAUAGGUAGGAGCCUUAGAAGCGUGAGCGCUAGCUUACGUGGAGGCAUUGGUGGGAUACUACCCUAAUUGUAUUGGAUUUCUAACCCGCAGCACUUAUCGUGCUGGGAGACAGUGUCAGGCGGGCAGUUUGACUGGGGCGGUCGCCUCCUAAAGAGUAACGGAGGCGCUCAAAGGUUCCCUCAGAAUGGUUGGAAAUCAUUCAUAGAGUGUAAAGGCAUAAGGGAGCUUGACUGCGAGACCUACAAGUCGAGCAGGGUCGAAAGACGGACUUAGUGAUCCGGUGGUUCCGCAUGGAAGGGCCAUCGCUCAACGGAUAAAAGCUACCCCGGGGAUAACAGGCUUAUCUCCCCCAAGAGUUCACAUCGACGGGGAGGUUUGGCACCUCGAUGUCGGCUCAUCGCAUCCUGGGGCUGUAGUCGGUCCCAAGGGUUGGGCUGUUCGCCCAUUAAAGCGGUACGCGAGCUGGGUUCAGAACGUCGUGAGACAGUUCGGUCCCUAUCCGUCGUGGGCGUAGGAAAUUUGAGAGGAGCUGUCCUUAGUACGAGAGGACCGGGAUGGACAUACCUCUGGUGUACCAGUUGUCGUGCCAACGGCAUAGCUGGGUAGCUAUGUAUGGACGGGAUAAGUGCUGAAAGCAUCUAAGCAUGAAGCCCCCCUCGAGAUGAGAUUUCCCAACUUCGGUUAUAAGAUCCCUCAAAGAUGAUGAGGUGAAUAGGUUCGAGGUGGAAGCGUAGCGAUACGUGGAGCUGACGAAUACUA
rnacentral:rRNA from 1 species